rnacentral:tRNA from 12 species
AAAUAUCAUUUGUGUUGAUUCUGAUUACUGAUGAUGAUCAUGAUGAUGAAUACAUAUUAAGUGUUUAUAUUCCUCUUCAUAAUCAUCAUCGUCAUCAUCAACCUGUCUUCAUCCACCGCUG